AAAUUGAAGAGUUUGAUCAUGGCUCAGAUUGAACGCUGGCGGCAGGCCUAACACAUGCAAGUCGAACGGUAACAGGAAACAGCUUGCUGUUUCGCUGACGAGUGGCGGACGGGUGAGUAAUGUCUGGGAAACUGCCUGAUGGAGGGGGAUAACUACUGGAAACGGUAGCUAAUACCGCAUAACGUCGCAAGACCAAAGAGGGGGACCUUAGGGCCUCUUGCCAUCGGAUGUGCCCAGAUGGGAUUAGCUAGUAGGUGGGGUAACGGCUCACCUAGGCGACGAUCCCUAGCUGGUCUGAGAGGAUGACCAGCCACACUGGAACUGAGACACGGUCCAGACUCCUACGGGAGGCAGCAGUGGGGAAUAUUGCACAAUGGGCGCAAGCCUGAUGCAGCCAUGCCGCGUGUAUGAAGAAGGCCUUCGGGUUGUAAAGUACUUUCAGCGGGGAGGAAGGGAGUAAAGUUAAUACCUUUGCUCAUUGACGUUACCCGCAGAAGAAGCACCGGCUAACUCCGUGCCAGCAGCCGCGGUAAUACGGAGGGUGCAAGCGUUAAUCGGAAUUACUGGGCGUAAAGCGCACGCAGGCGGUUUGUUAAGUCAGAUGUGAAAUCCCCGGGCUCAACCUGGGAACUGCAUCUGAUACUGGCAAGCUUGAGUCUCGUAGAGGGGGGUAGAAUUCCAGGUGUAGCGGUGAAAUGCGUAGAGAUCUGGAGGAAUACCGGUGGCGAAGGCGGCCCCCUGGACGAAGACUGACGCUCAGGUGCGAAAGCGUGGGGAGCAAACAGGAUUAGAUACCCUGGUAGUCCACGCCGUAAACGAUGUCGACUUGGAGGUUGUGCCCUUGAGGCGUGGCUUCCGGAGCUAACGCGUUAAGUCGACCGCCUGGGGAGUACGGCCGCAAGGUUAAAACUCAAAUGAAUUGACGGGGGCCCGCACAAGCGGUGGAGCAUGUGGUUUAAUUCGAUGCAACGCGAAGAACCUUACCUGGUCUUGACAUCCACAGAACUUUCCAGAGAUGGAUUGGUGCCUUCGGGAACUGUGAGACAGGUGCUGCAUGGCUGUCGUCAGCUCGUGUUGUGAAAUGUUGGGUUAAGUCCCGCAACGAGCGCAACCCUUAUCCUUUGUUGCCAGCGGUCCGGCCGGGAACUCAAAGGAGACUGCCAGUGAUAAACUGGAGGAAGGUGGGGAUGACGUCAAGUCAUCAUGGCCCUUACGACCAGGGCUACACACGUGCUACAAUGGCGCAUACAAAGAGAAGCGACCUCGCGAGAGCAAGCGGACCUCAUAAAGUGCGUCGUAGUCCGGAUUGGAGUCUGCAACUCGACUCCAUGAAGUCGGAAUCGCUAGUAAUCGUGGAUCAGAAUGCCACGGUGAAUACGUUCCCGGGCCUUGUACACACCGCCCGUCACACCAUGGGAGUGGGUUGCAAAAGAAGUAGGUAGCUUAACCUUCGGGAGGGCGCUUACCACUUUGUGAUUCAUGACUGGGGUGAAGUCGUAACAAGGUAACCGUAGGGGAACCUGCGGUUGGAUCACCUCCUUACCUUAAAGAAGC
rnacentral:rRNA from 1 species